GGCUUCCGGAGCUAACGCGUUAAGUCGACCGCCUGGGGAGUACGGCCGCAAGGUUAAAACUCAAAUGAAUUGACGGGGGCCCGCACAAGCGGUGGAGCAUGUGGUUUAAUUCGAUGCAACGCGAAGAACCUUACCUACUCUUGACAUCCACGGAAUUUGGCAGAGAUGCCUUAGUGCCUUCGGGAACUGUGAGACAGGUGCUGCAUGGCUGUCGUCAGCUCGUGUUGUGAAAUGUUGGGUUAAGUCCCGCAACGAGCGCAACCCUUAUCCUUUGUUGCCAGCGAUUCGGUCGGGAACUCAAAGGAGACUGCCGGUGAUAAACCGGAGGAAGGUGGGGAUGACGUCAAGUCAUCAUGGCCCUUACGAGUAGGGCUACACACGUGCUACAAUGGCGCAUACAAAGAGAAGCGACCUCGCGAGAGCAAGCGGACCUCAUAAAGUGCGUCGUAGUCCGGAUCGGAGUCUGCAACUCGACUCCGUGAAGUCGGAAUCGCUAGUAAUCGUGGAUCAGAAUGCCACGGUGAAUACGUUCCCGGGCCUUGUACACACCGCCCGUCACACCAU
rnacentral:rRNA from 1 species